rnacentral:lncRNA from 8 species
AAUCAUUGAAAUUGUCAUAUAAAUUGAUAACAUACCUAUAAUAUGAUUUUCUUUCUUCUAAAAAAAUUAUUAUUUUUAUUUGUCAAAUGGCACCCAAGCAUCGAUGAUCAUGUCACCAGAAUAAGACCCUCGAUAUUUAUUGGAAAGGAGCAUCAAGCUCAUCACCUUGCACUUUCACCACCCUGUGACGUUUAUCAUAAUUUGUUUAAUCUGUAGCCUAAUAAACUGCAUGCUUUCCUGACCAGUCGUGGUGGGAGGACCACACAACAUGUCAUGGCAUGACUCCAAGUUAUUAUAUCAACAUUUGCGCAUAAAUGCGUUUCCAACCAACAUUUCUCGGAUAAUUCAUUUUACCACAAAAGAUCACACCCUGUCUAGUAUAUUUUGUUUUAUCAACAUUUGGAAAGUUUACCGAAAAAUGUUCUGUUUCUAUCAGGUCUGUCAUGAAAGUUUUUAUCCAACAUGUACUUUACUCGCUUAUGAAGGUUGGAUGGAAACCUGGUUAGUGUCAGUGUUGAUUUAACCCUGGAUUAUUUGCUGUGCUCACACACUGAAACCAACAGGGGGUUCACUUUGGUGUUUCAUUCUAGGCCUUAGUUGUUCCUUGUCGUUUCAUUAUGCAGCAAAUAUCAAGCUUCAGCUUUUUGUGCAUGACUGUAAUUUCCUCUUUAAUGAUUUUCAGUGUCACGUAGGUCAUAAGAUGUGCCUUGUCAGAAAUUCUAUCGAGGUAUAAAGUCGAGUUCCUAUUUGCAUGUGACUUUUAUUUGAGAAACCAAAUUGAACUGUAGCUUGUAAUGUAUAGCAUGCAAUUAUGCAAAGUACAAACUGCGGACAACAGGGACUGUUGUCAUCGGUGCACUGAGUUUGAAUGCAGUGGCGGCCACGGAUACAUCAUAGAGACACCAGGAUGGCAACUGAAGGGGCCACAGAGAAGAGAGCCAACUUGGUGGCAUCUAAAGUCAUGUGGAGUAACAGGGAUGACGUACCUAUGUCAGCACCAGAACGGUCACAUGGCAGUGACAGAGCUGGUAAGACCUCUUUCCUAUUGUCUAUUGUUCUGUAGAUUGCAGAUUUUCAAUUUGAGGAAUAUGACACUGUUUAGAAAACUGUGCGAUAUUAGAGACUGUAGAUUACAUUUUUGGAACUGUCUAGAAUCUCUAUAUCUAUGUAUUUGA